UACGUAGGUGGCGAGCGUUGUCCGGAUUUACUGGGCGUAAAGGGAGCGUAGGCGGACUUUUAAGUGAGAUGUGAAAUACUCGGGCUCAACUUGAGUGCUGCAUUUCAAACUGGAAGUCUAGAGUGCAGGAGAGGAGAAUGGAAUUCCUAGUGUAGCGGUGAAAUGCGUAGAGAUUAGGAAGAACUCCAGUGGCGAAGGCGAUUCUCUGGACUGUAACUGACGCUGAGGCUCGAAAGCGUGGGGAGCAAACAGG
rnacentral:rRNA from 1 species